ACAUGCCUUGAGGUGGGGGACAACAGUUGGAAACGACUGCUAAUACCGCAUAAUGUCUACGGACCAAAGGGGGCUUCGGCUCUCGCCUUUAGAUUGGCCCAAGUGGGAUUAGCUAGUUGGUGAGGUAAUGGCUCACCAAGGCGACGAUCCCUAGCUGGUUUGAGAGGAUGAUCAGCCACACUGGGACUGAGACACGGCCCAGACUCCUACGGGAGGCAGCAGUGGGGAAUAUUGCACAAUGGGCGCAAGCCUGAUGCAGCCAUGCCGCGUGUGUGAAGAAGGCCUUCGGGUUGUAAAGCACUUUCAGUCAGGAGGAAAGGUUAGUAGUUAAUACCUGCUAGCUGUGACGUUACUGACAGAAGAAGCACCGGCUAACUCCGUGCCAGCAGCCGCGGUAAUACGGAGGGUGCGAGCGUUAAUCGGAAUUACUGGGCGUAAAGCGUACGCAGGCGGUUUGUUAAGCGAGAUGUGAAAGCCCCGGGCUCAACCUGGGAACUGCAUUUCGAACUGGCAAACUAGAGUGUGAUAGAGGGUGGUAGAAUUUCAGGUGUAGCGGUGAAAUGCGUAGAGAUCUGAAGGAAUACCGAUGGCGAAGGCAGCCACCUGGGUCAACACUGACGCUCAUGUACGAAAGCGUGGGGAGCAAACGG
rnacentral:rRNA from 1 species